AACUGGACUGAGGAGCAAUGUUUGUUGCUGGCCCAGUUGGUGAACGAACAUAAAGGCGACGAUUGUGAGAAAAGGUGGUAUGUGCUGCAGUCCAAGGCAAAAGAUGAGAUUGCAGCAUACAAGCGGGAAUCCUCACUCACAGGGGGUGGACCACCUGCAAAGCGGCUGUCCCAGGUGGCCGACACUGUCUUUCAAGUCCUGGGACACUCUGAGGUCAGUGUCACCGGGCUGCCAACAGGCAUUGACACGUCAAUGAUGCAGGCCCUUGAAAUGCAGCAAAGCAUUGAGCCAUCACAAGAACCGGGCCCAUCAAGUUUGCCGCCUGAACCAUCUGCAGCUGCUACUCAGGAUAGCCCGGCGGAUCAAACACCAUUCCCAUCCGCAGCACCUGCUCCGUCAGCAUCCCUGCAGGAGAGAAGAUUGCAACUCACAAUUGAUGUGUUUGAACAAC
ensembl:lncRNA